AGCAGCAUGGCUUAGUGGAUAGAGCACUGGCCUGGGAGUCAGAAGGACAUGGGUUCUAAUCCCUGCACUGCCA
rnacentral:tRNA from 1 species